UGUAGUAAUCCUGCUCAGUAGGAGAGGAACCGCAGGUUCAGACAUUUGGUGUAAGUACUUGGCUGAGGAGCCAAUGGUGCGAAGCUACCAUCUGUGGGAUUAUGACUGAACGCCUCUAAGUCAGAAUCCCCCCUAAACGUAACGAUAACGUAGCGCAGCAGAUCUUCGGUUGGCCCGGGAUAGCAUGCCUCUUUUGGCAGGUGAGUAGAGCCGUUUGUGAGGGGGUUGGGGUGCGGCCGGAUGAGUUGCCGCCCUCUCCUGAUGCGUACCGCAUGUUUGUGGGGAACCUGGUGCUAAAUCACUUGUAGAUUACCUGACUCUGGGUCAAUGUGUUGUAUGUAGCAGAGCAGCUCACUCACUGCGAUCUAUUGAAAGUCAGCCCUCGAUCCAAGAUUU
rnacentral:ncRNA from 1 species